UGGGGAAUCUUGCGCAAUGGGCGAAAGCCUGACGCAGCCAUGCCGCGUGAAUGAUGAAGGUCUUAGGAUUGUAAAAUUCUUUCACCGGGGACGAUAAUGACGGUACCCGGAGAAGAAGCCCCGGCUAACUUCGUGCCAGCAGCCGCGGUAAUACGAAGGGGGCUAGCGUUGCUCGGAAUUACUGGGCGUAAAGGGAGCGUAGGCGGACAUUUAAGUCAGGGGUGAAAUCCCGGGGCUCAACCUCGGAAUUGCCUUUGAUACUGGGUGUCUUGAGUGUGAGAGAGGUAUGUGGAACUCCGAGUGUAGAGGUGAAAUUCGUAGAUAUUCGGAAGAACACCAGUGGCGAAGGC
rnacentral:rRNA from 1 species